ensembl:lncRNA
GAAACACUUGGUCACUCUACCCAAUUUUUCACAGUGCUACUGGUAAUGAAGCUGCGUUGCUAAGGCAACAGAUUACAAAAACUCUUGGUCCUUCAGGCUGGACGUCUCUUUAACAAAACUAGGAACUUUUAUUCUGCUGCAUUCUCUAAUAUCAAAGCCAACUUUGUUGUGCUUUCUAUUUAUCUGGAGGUUUUGUGUAAUGGGCAUAAGAUGAUAUAUUUUAAAAGCCCGCUUGUUUUUGCAAUUUAGCAUCAUUUUGUACUACUGUGUAAAGUUUUUUUUUUUCCUUUUGUUCCUCUGUUCAGUCUAAUCUUGCUGUAAACCCUUUUAAUGAUUUCUAUUUUUGUCAUGUGUUUAAAGCUAGGAGCUACUUAUUAGCUGGCUGAUUUGGGAGGGGUUGUGGUUGUAUAUAGGUGUUUGUAGGGGAGGAGGAAGUGUGUCAGGGGGGGCACUUGGUGGCACAGUUUUUACCUCGUUAAGUGUACAUAAAUCUUUCUCAUUGGCCGUUGGUUGUACAUAAGUGAUUAUGAUUGGUCGUGCUGGUGUGAAGGAAAGCCAAUGAAGCCUCAGUUCAUGUGUGUGAAUCUUUAGGACCAGACAAUAAGGUUGACAGUGACUGGACACAAAAGUAUUAAUUUAUUUUUAUAUGUGCAGGGACAUUGUGUUUCUUUUUUUUCUUUUUUUCUUUUUUUUAAUGUUUUGCACCAUUUUCUUGAUGGAAAGUCAUUUUAUACUCUGGGCACCAUAUUUUCAUCUGUGCACACAUUUUGUUGGAUAAAUUUUCUAAGAGUGUAAAAAAAUUGGUGGGGGAUUGACAAUGUAUUUAAAAAAAAAAAAAGAAAAUUAAAGAAACACUCUGGUUAAGUAAGAGCAGCGUUUGGUGUUUGUAUCAAAGUAUCAGUAAAAAAAUCACAAAAUCACGCAUGCUGUAAAUGUGUUUGCUUUUACCGUGACGCUGAUCUGUACACUGAAAAAAAGGGACUGGCCAUCUCUUGGAUUUAUGUAAGCAUCUUGCAUGUAUUUAACACAAUUACCUCAUGUUUUAAAGAUAAAUGUAACUAUAUAGUGUAAAAACUACAUGAUAUGCAGAAAGGGUGUAUUAAAUUGUUCAUAUCAUGUUCAGGUGAAGUAAGUCAAUAAGAUAGCAACGUUAAAUCUCGUGAAACCACGCGUGAUUUCAUCUCGCGGGCUUUGGAUUGUGGUUCAAAAAAGGCAUCCAUCUCAGUCAAGUCGAGCAGCCAACUCUACGUUUUUGGAGUCAGCUGAUGGAUUGUGGGUUCAAGGUGUUAUGAUAAAAUGCAGCAUUCCAGUGCAUCCCAACCAUGCCUUUACAGUCAAGGUUUCUGACGGAGCUGAGUUUCUCUCUGACAGUCUGCUGAAAGUGUUUGCAAAGUGAUCGGGGGAACAGU